UACGGAGGGUGCAAGCGUUAUCCGGAUUCACUGGGCUUAAAGGGUGCGUAGGUGGGCAAGUAAGUCAGUGGUGAAAUCUCCGGGCUUAACCCGGAAACUGCCAUUGAUACUAUUUGUCUUGAAUACUGUGGAGGUCAGCGGAAUAUGUCAUGUAGCGGUGAAAUGCUUAGAUAUGACAUAGAACACCAAUUGCGAAGGCAGCUGGCUACACAAAUAUUGACACUGAGGCACGAAAGCGUGGGGAUCAAACGGG
rnacentral:rRNA from 1 species